rnacentral:lncRNA from 1 species
AACUAAACAAGAGGCUAUUGUCUCUCUCUGGGUUCUCCCCCAAGGUACUGCCGAGAAGAGAAAGAUGAGACGCUUGGUUUCUUAAGUCUGCUAAGAGUGCGACAGUGUGUCGGCAGGCUCCGGUACACCUUUAUGGCACUAUCUGGCCCGGUGGUAAUAGUUGCCAGAGUGUCUGAGAGUUGUUAUCCCAGUUGGAGGAGAAGAAGGUUGUGACUGGAGUAGAGAUUUAUCUUCUCUGGCACACUGCCCCGCUUCAGGAACUACAGGAAGAAGGCCCAUGGAUAAUGGGUAUUCAGUCGAUGUAGACCACCGGUCCUUGUGUUGCCUACAAGCCAAAGCAAAUUCAGAGACUUUAAAUGAGGUCAGUAUUGCUAACAUCUCCUAAAUAUAAAACUUUUCUGUACUAUUUCAUUAUUAAAAAGAAUGUAUUUAUCUCUUAAAUUUAAGCCUUGAGUACAUACUUUUAUCGUUCUAAUUGUUAAAUGUGAAUGAGUUCUCUCACCCCUAAAUGAUUAUGAGCUUCCCAAGGGCAGGAAGUCUGAUAGCAAAACAGAUAAUAUAUCUAGCAUAAUGGAAGAAUACUAUCUGAGGUAGCACUCAGCCUGGAAGUUGUUCUUUUCCUUGUCAAAAUCCAGGGCAUCCUAUAAUAGUGUCUCCCACACUAUAUCGUUUGGUAUUCUCGU